GUGCUUACUUCAGCAGCAUAUAUACUAUUGGAAAGAUACAGAGAAGAUUUGCAUGGAUGACAUGAAAAUUCAUGAAGCAUUCCAUUUUUUU
rnacentral:snRNA from 1 species